CAUUUACAUGGACAACACCUGCACUUGCAAGUGCCAGAAGGCCAUUUUACAUUUUCUGCUCCUUUGCUUUGCCAAAGCCAGGGAUCUAAAUUCAGAUUUUUCCUGUUAAGUGAACGGACCUAUAAAGGUUGAUUCUUUAUUUUGGACAUCGUUUCAUUGGUAAGCUUUAGUUAUGAGUUAUCUUUCACGUCGGCGAGGAAAUGGUGCAAGGAAUAAGGAUAUUGAGAGGCAACCUCUCAAGGAAGGUGGAGGUGAUUCAUCGGCAAAAAUAAUGACGACAAAGACAAUUUUUGACCCACAAGGGAAGUUCCUUCGAAGGUGGAAUGUAAUAUUUGAAAGUUCAAAAACGUGUACAAAACA